rnacentral:misc_RNA from 1 species
GUUUCUGGAGUUCAAUGGCCUGUAUUUAGGUGGGGUGGUGGAAGAGAUGACAAAUACUUUGCGAGAAUCGGGAAGAACAUGAUCUCCGUCUACGAAACGGAGACUUUCACACUUAUUGAUAAGAAGUCUCUAAAGGUUGAAAGUGUUAUGGACUUUUGCUGGUCUCCUACUGAUCCCAUACUGGCCCUGUUCGUCCCUGAGCUCGGUGGUGGAAACCAGCCUGCCAGGGUAAGCCUUAUUCAAAUUCCGGAGAAAGCGGAGCUGAGGCAGAAAAAUCUCUUCAGUGUCAGCGACUGCAAAAUGUACUGGCAGAGCAACGGAGAGUACCUCGCUG